rnacentral:rRNA from 1 species
GUGACGAAGCGACGCCGCGUGCGGGAAGAAGGCCUUCGGGUUGUAAACCGCUGUCGGGAGUUAGGAAAUGCAAGGAUGUUAAUAGCGUUCUUGCUUGACUAAGGCUCCGGAGGAAGCCACGGCUAACUCUGUGCCAGCAGCCGCGGUAAUACAGAGGCGGCAAGCGUUGUUCGGAAUUAUUGGGCGUAAAGAGCGCGUAGGCGGCUGUGUAAGUCGGUUGUGAAAGCCUUCCGCUUAACGGAAGAACGGCAUCCGAUACUGCAUAGCUUGAGUGCGGGAGGGGAGAGUGGAACUUCUGGUGGAGCGGUGAAAUGCGUAGAUAUCAGAAGGAACACCGGCGGCGAAGGCGACUCUCUGGUCCGUAACUGACGCUGAGUGUGCGAAAGCUAGGGGAGCAAACGGGAUUAGAUACCCCGGUAGUCCUAGCCGUAAACGAU